rnacentral:misc_RNA from 1 species
GAUGAAGAACGUAGCGAAAUGCGAUAAGUAGUGUGAAUUGCAGAAUUCAGUGAAUCAUCGAAUCUUUGAACGCACAUUGCGCCCCUUGGUAUUCCAUGGGGCAUGCCUGUUCGAGCGUCAUUUGUACCUUCAAGCUUUGCUUGGUGUUGGGUGUUUGUCUCGCCUUUGCGUGUAGACUCGCCUUAAAAUAAUUGGCAGCCGGCGUAUUGAUUUCGGAGCGCAGUACAUCUCGCGCUUUGCACUCAUAACGACAGCGUCCAAAAGUACAUUUUACACUCUUGACCUCGGAUCAGGUAGGGAUACCCGCUGAACUUAAGCAUAUCAAUAAGCGGAGGG